AAAUGAGCAGACAGAAGCUCAGCUUUGUUAAGGUCUAGCCAGACUGCCUGUAGAACUUUCUGGUCCACUGCAGCCAAUAUUUUAAAAUCCCAGAUGGAAAAGCAAGUCUUAGUUUAUUGAGAAGACAGAAAACACUGAAUAUUAUUACCUUCAUUAUCAAACUCAAUGAAGAAUAUUUCAGAGGCACCUGCUCUUGCAUUAUGUGCUCACUUUGUAAGUGUACUGGGUUGGACUGGCAGCUGCUUCACAUGUAGCCCAUGUGUGGCAAAAUGGGACCUCACUCAAUGUCAGCUGAAGAAUUUCUUUUCUCUCCACUCAACAAUGAGCCACUGGACACCACUAUGUGGAUGCUGGAGCUCUUUACUCUUUAGCAGCUCCCAUUCCCAUGGGACAAAUUCAGCCCAUCACAGAGGAAAGAGUAGCGUUCCCACAGAAGUAAUGAGAAAUCUGAAUCAGAGGCAACUGCUCUGCCCAACUUGAAGAUUGCCAAUGUCUCAGCACACAUAACUGGGAAAGAUCCAGAUGGAAUCAAUUUCCACAAUCCAGUGGGUGACAUGAAGUGGAAAACAUUCAAGGAGGGUAGAAAACAA